AUACGUAGGGAGCAAGCGUUGUCCGGAUUUACUGGGCGUAAAGGGCGCGUAGGCGGCUCAUUAAGUGUGUGGUGAAAUCUCUGUGCUCAACGCAGAAAUUGCCACGCAUACUGGCGAGCUUGAGGGACGUAGAGGUGAAUAGAAUUUCCGGUGUAGCGGUGACAUGCGAUCAUAUCGGAAGGAAUACCAAUGGCGAAGGCAGUUCACUGGACGUUUCCUGACGCUGAGGCGCGAAAGCGUGGGUAGC
rnacentral:rRNA from 1 species